GACGAACGCUGGCGGCGUGCUUAACACAUGCAAGUCGAACGGAAAGGUCCUGCUUUUGUGGGGUGCUCGAGUGGCGAACGGGUGUGUAACACGUGAGUAACCUGCCCUUGUCUUUGGGAGAACUUCAGGAAACUCGGGCUAUUACCGGGUAGGAGCUCCUGCUGCAUGGGGGGGGUUGGAAAGAUUCGGCGGUUGGGGAUGGUUUCGCGGCUUAUCCGCUUGUUGGUGGGGUAGGGGCUUACCAAGGCUGUGACGGGUAGCCGGCCUGAGAGGUUGACCGGCCACAAUGGGACUGAGAUACGGCCCAGACGCCUACGGGAGGCAGCAGUGGGGAAUAUUGCAGAAUGGGCGGAAGCCUGAUGCAGAAACGCCGCGUGCGGGAUGACGGCCUUCGGGUUGUAAACCGCUUUCGCCUGUGACGAAGCGUGAGUGACGGUAAUGGGUAAAGAAGCACCGGCUAACUACGUG
rnacentral:rRNA from 1 species